UACGUAGGGGCAAGCGUUAUCCGGAAUUAUUGGGCGUAAAGAGUGCGUAGGUGGUUUUGUAAGCGCGGGGUGAAAGGCUAUGGCUCAACCAUAGUAAGCCUUGCGAACUGUGAGACUUGAGUGCAGGAGAGGAGAGUGGAAUUCCUAGUGUAGCGGUGAAAUGCGUAGAUAUUAGGAGGAACACCAGUAGCGAAGGCGGCUCUCUGGACUGUAACUGACGCUGAGGCACGAAAGCGUGGGGAGCAAACAGGAUUAGAUACCCGCGUA
rnacentral:rRNA from 1 species